rnacentral:rRNA from 1 species
AACAAGGUUUCCGUAGGUGAACCUGCGGAAGGAUCAUUACCGAGUUGAUUCGGGCUCCGGCCCGAUCCUCCCACCCUUUGUGUACCUACCUCUGUUGCUUUGGCGGGCCGCGGUCCUCCGCGGCCGGCCCCCCUCCCCGGGGGGUGGCCAGCGCCCGCCAGAGGACCAUCAAACUCCAGUCAGUAAACGAUGCAGUCUGAAAAACAUUUAAUAAACUAAAACUUUCAACAACGGAUCUCUUGGUUCUGGCAUCGAUGAAGAACGCAGCGAAAUGCGAUAAGUAAUGUGAAUUGCAGAAUUCAGUGAAUCAUCGAAUCUUUGAACGCACAUUGCGCCCUUUGGUAUUCCGAAGGGCAUGCCUGUUCGAGCGUCAUUACAACCCUCAAGCUCUGCUUGGUAUUGGGCACCGUCCUUUGCGGGCGCGCCUCAAAGACCUCGGCGGUGGCGUCUUGCCUCAAGCGUAGUAGAACAUACAUCUCGCUUCGGAGCGCAGGGCGUCGCCCGCCGGACGAACCUUCUGAACUUUUCUCAAGGUUGACCUCGGAUCAGGUAGGGAUACCCGCUGAACUUAAGCAUAUCAAUAAGCGGAGGA